rnacentral:rRNA from 1 species
UACGGAGGAUGCGAGCGUUAUCCGGAUUUAUUGGGUUUAAAGGGUGCGUAGGCGGGCUUUUAAGUCAGCGGUAAAAAUUCGGGGCUCAACCCCGUCCGGCCGUUGAAACUGGGGGUCUUGAGUGGGCGAGAAGAAGGCGGAAUGCGUGGUGUAGCGGUGAAAUGCAUAGAUAUCACGCAGAACCCCGAUUGCGAAGGCAGCCUUCCGGCGCCCUACUGACGCUGAGGCACGAAAGUGCGGGGAUCGAAUAGG